AGGAGGAGGCCUAGGAGAGGCAUCGGGCACCAAAGGAGCAACUCUAAGGCAACGUAAAAUUCGGGAGUGCCGCAAAAAGUAUCGCGCGUACAAGUGCGGGAGUGCCGUUAAAAGUAUCGCGAGUACGAGUGCGGGAAUGCCGUUAAAAUUAAAUAUUGCGCGUGUUAAUCAAUGAAUUUUGACGACCUGAGAAGAGCAAAAGGUCUAGGAGAGGCAUAUGGGAUACUGGCGAAACAACCCUAAGACAAGGACAAUGUAACUUGAACAACGUAGCUUCAACUAUUUCGCUGUUGUACAUCGGUG